rnacentral:lncRNA from 1 species
GUAAAAUGCAGUUUUUGGUUUAUGACUCAAAAACCAAAGCAUUAAGAGCAAAUCUGACACAGGGUAUAUUUGUUUAUCAGGUCAAGUUCUAUCUUCCCUGAAAUUUUCAGAUGAAUCGGACAACCCGUUGUUGGGUUGUUGCCCCUAAAUUGGUAAUUUUAAGGAAAUUUUACUGUUUUUGGUUAUUAUCUUGAAUAUUAUUAUAGAUAGAGAUAAACUGUAAACAGCAAUAAUGUUCAGCAAAGUAAGAUUUACAAAUAAGUCAAACUGACCGAAAUGGUCAAAUGACCCCUUUAGGAGUUAUUGCCCUUUAUAGUCAAUGUUUAACCAUUUUUCGUAAAUCUUAGUAAUCUUUUACAAAAAUCUUCCGCUCUGAAACUACUGGGCCAAAUUAAUCCAAACUUGGCCACAAUCAUCUUUGGGGUAUCUAGUUUAAAAAAUGUGUCUUGUGACCCGGC